AGAAUCAACGCUGGCGGCGUGCCUAACACAUGCAAGUCGAACGAGAAAGUGGAGCAAUCCAUGAGUAAAGUGGCGCACGGGUGAGUAACACGUGACUAACCUACCUUUUAGUGGGGGAUAACCUAGGGAAACCUGGGCUAAUACCGCAUAACACUUACGAGUCAAAGCAGCAAUGCGCUGAAAGGAGGGGUCGCGGCCGAUUAGCUAGUUGGCGGGUAAUGGCCCACAAGGCAGUGAUCGGUA
rnacentral:rRNA from 1 species